rnacentral:rRNA from 1 species
GGCUGCGGGAAACUGCAGGUAACACCGGAUACGCACGAGAGUGGAAAGUUUACGCCCUGGGAUGGGCCCGCGUCGGAUUAGGUAGUUGGUGGGGUAACGGCCUACCAAGCCUGCGAUCCGUAACCGGUCUGAGAGGAUGAUCGGUCACACUGGGACUGAGACACGGCCCAGACUCCUACGGGAGGCAGCAGUGGGGAAUCUUGGACAAUGGGGGCAACCCUGAUCCAGCGACGCCGCGUGGGUGAUGAAGGCCUUCGGGUCGUAAAGCCCUUUUGCCGGGGAAGAUGAUGACGGCACCCGGAGAAGAAGCACCGGCUAACUCUGUGCUAGCAGCCGCGGUAAGACAGAGGGUGCUAGCGUUGUUCGGAAUUACUGGGCGUAAAGGGCGCGUAGGCGGCUCGUUUAGUCGGGUGUGAAAUCCCGGGGCUCAACCCCGGAACUGCAUUCGAUACUGGCGGGCUAGAGACCGAGAGAGGUGGGUGGAAUACCCAGUGUAGAGGUGAAUUUCGUAGAUAUUGGGUGGAACACCGGUGGCGAAGGCGGCUCACUGGCUCGGUUCUGACGCUGAGGCGCGAAAGCGUGGGGAGCAAAAGGGAUUAG